GUCUGUGGUAACAAAUGUCUUCUGUUUUGCUUGCCUGAGAAGGUCGUGUUCUUCUCUUGGAAGGUGCUUUUGUUGGGAACACAAUGUGUGGCUGGCAGUUCUUCCCCAAACAUGUAUCUGAAGACUGCGGAGCCGACUCUUCUGUCCACUGCUUCUCCUGACCCUCUCAUGGUGCCUUGUUUCCUGGCGUAUUUUGUGAUUUUGGGCUGUGAGUUUGUAUUUCUUGGAACCUUACCUCUGGAAUUUCUCUAAGAGAUUCUGGGCUCUUCUAGAAAAAAAUUAGUAUUUACUUCUGCCAUGUAACUGGGGUGCUAUCGAUCUAGCACCACUUUAAAAUAAAGCACUGGGUGCGGGU